rnacentral:misc_RNA from 1 species
GUAAAAAUGCCCUAAACAGCUGAGUCUCUGGCAAGGAAAAAAGACCUAGGCGGAGCUUCCUUCUCGGUUUCUGAAAUCCGCAAGUUACAGAGUAAGCCCACGCUCUAACGUUUUCAUAUUCUGUUGGGUGGUUAAUUGCCCUGUUGUUUGGCUGCUGAGAAAAUUCUCAAACGGAAAUUCCAACGGUUCUGUCUUUAUAUUUGUGCCGAGUUCAAGUAUAGACUUUGAGGACUGGGUAGAUUAUUGAGUUAGCUUACUUGAAAUUUUUGGGAUUCUAAUUUAGGCCUUCCGAUUAUCUAGUUGUAAACUUAAUGAUGAUUCUUUUGCAUUUUUGUUCCUGUUUUUUUGUUUAAUUUAUCGAGAAAUCGCUAAAACCCUACUUUUUUUACUGUUCAUCCAUAUUUACGUGGAUUUUAUGUGGGCAGAGUACCUGUGAGAACUUUUUGACAAUCUAAACCAUUUGGAAGGUUUUGGACUAACAAAGAGCAAGUCAUAUUAUAAUUCCGUCUUCUUCCGUCACAGAGGGACUCUAAUUUUAUUGGACAUGACUCUUUUCGUUGCGUUUGUGUUAUUCAUUCAUGGACAACAAUACGGUCUAUAUUUAAUGAUAAUAGAGAGAGGUCUCAGUCUCACUUGACGCUAGUCAUUUGUUGGUCUGUGGCACUUGUACCAAUGCACUUGAAAAUCUAGAGUUUAAACUUUUAUAUUGACUUUCUCUAUUAUGCAUAAUUCAUUCCAUGAGUUACUUAUUUUCCUCAAAUGUGACCCUAGAAUAUUAUAAGAUGGGCAAAUUCAUUUAAUAUGCAUGAAUCUAGUUAUCAUUUCUUCUGUAUACUGUGUUGAAGCAGGGAAAAAAAAAGAAUGAGUACAGGUGGAGAAAAGGGAUCAACAACUACAAAAACACCAGCUGAUUUCCUUAAAUCAAUUCGCGGGCGACCUGUUGUAGUUAAGCUCAAUUCUGGAGUUGAUUAUAGAGGUUUUUUGCUCUUUAUAGUGCUCCAUUAUGCUUCAUGUUGCAUUUUAGAUCAGUAGAGAUUGCUGCAUUGGAUCAGCCAGUAUGAGAAUUAAAGCAAACCAGGAAUGUCUUAUAUACUGUUGCAAUUUUAUCUUUUUCUUCAUUGACAUUGAGUCUGCUGCAAGGUUUCCCUCUAAAAAUUUUUGUUCAUAAAGGGGUAGUUGACGCCCAUAGAGAAGUUGAGAAAAGGGAGAUUAAGAUACCUUGGGCAUGUGCAUUGUAGAGCAGCAAAAUGCAUAAAUAUUGAAAGUUGAGAAUAUUGAAGUUGUAGGAGAAAGGAAACUGUGAAACCGACCUAGGAUGCAUGGCAUGGGGAAAGUAAUGAAAAAAGAUUUUACAACUGUAAGUCUUUCUGAAAAUGUAGCUUUGAACUGGGUGAAAUGAAAGGAUCUAUAUAGCUAACCAUGACUUGUUUGAAACUAAAUAUUUGUCAAUUCAUCAGGGUGAUUUGAUUGAGUUAAAAAGCUAGUUCACCUUACUUAUGGUGUGCAGGUAUGGUAUUUUGACUGUCAUCAACCAGCUAGUUUAAAAAGGAUUAUACAGGUAUUCUAGCCUGCCUGGAUGGAUAUAUGAAUAUAGCCAUGGAGCAAACAGAAGAAUACGUAAAUGGACAGUUAAAAAACAAGUACGGUGAUGCUUUCAUACGAGGAAAUAAUGUUCUCUACAUCAGUACAUCAAAGAGGACACUUGCAGAUGGUGCAUAGUUUCAAGGAACAAGAACUAAAGAAAAGAACUCUGCCUGAGGACGGCUAUCAUGUGUUGUUUUUAAACUUGCAGUGGAAAUUAUCUUGUUAGUUAAAUUUCGUUGCUUCGUGUGAGAUGAGACAAGAAACGGUAAUUGAACUUUGAACUGUUUAAGGGCCUCCUGUUUAAUAUCCACUGAAACAUUUCUACUUAUAAUAUAUCCAUCCUAUAAAUAUUUAAUUUCUUUAAAGCUAAGAAACAAUGGCGGAAAAAUGCCUAAAGCUAUGCCAAAUACAUUUCAUUAGCAUGCAAGCAAAUUUCUUGUCCUAACGCACUACUGAAACAGUCGGUUUUAUGCAUCCAAUUGAGCAAGUGCUCUGUGCCGUACACGAUAAGAUAAAGGGCUAUACUUGCAAAUAAUAAUGAUAUCUUUUACAUAUUUACACAUAAGAUCUACAUUACAACAAUUUUGUUAUAAACAUGGUGACAUGUGCAGCUUUAUCCCACUACUCAUCUACCAGUU